AGUCCCUUACUGCCAAUCCCAUCUCCACUCUAGCGCGCCGCCACCUCUUGCCCCGCCCCGCCGGCGCGCCGCCAGCCCGCCUCCCGUCGCCGCACGCUGCUGCCCCUCCACCGCGGCGCGCCGCCGGACUGCCUACCCCAAGUGCCCCCAGCAACCGCCGCCGCCGCCGCCGCCGCCCGCAGCAGCAGCAGGCGCGGCCGGAGAUCCCAUCGUGGGGCCGGCGCCGGUCGAGGAAGGUCCCGGUGGCGCCGCCGGCCGAGAAGCCCGCGCCAUAUGACGAUAGGAGCGAGGGCGCCGCCAGCCUGGACACCCCCGAGGACGACGAGCACGACCAGGCAGUAGCGGCGGAGGACGAGGCCAAGGCUAGCGCGCAGGACAAGUCGGCGCAGGAGCAGCGCGGCGUGGUCGCGAGCUUGUCCCACGGGAACGCCCAUCUCCUAAAGGCUCGCGAUGACCUCCGCCUUUUCCUUCUUGAAUAGCAUCAACCCAGCAUCCUUAUUCCCCUGCCUGCAAGAAUGAUCCAGUACUGUUUGAAAAAUAUAGACCGCAGUUGACCUCUUAUGGUCAGCAUAUUCCGCACUGAGCAACGACGAGCUCAUUGUUGAUAUCCCCCAACUCAACACAGGUCACCUACCCUGCUUCCUACUUCCUACUUCCAACUUCCAAUGUAUUUUGUGACUGAGAUUGUGCACAUGAGCAAUCUGUGAGGAUGUCAAGAAACGAUGGAAUUAGAUUAUGCAAAGCUUUCCGGUGGCUGAAUGGCUCUCACAUGUUCUACUGCUGCAAAUUUGUGUCAUCAAUGGGGUGUUCUCCAUUGGUUAUGAUACAACAACUGAUGCUUCAUUUCCAGAUUAACAAGAAAGGUCAAACUGACUAAAAAAUGUAAGGACAUCAGCAUCUUCUCUUUCUCUAUUAUUAUGAGAGCAUACUGCAUAAUAAUGCCUUUCAUGAUUCAGGCUCCUGUUCUUUUUUACCCUCUGCAGUCCUGAAGGUAGAGGAUACACGAUCUUUUACUGCAUUUUUACGGGUGUCUCCAUUGUUGUACACACUUUGAUACUUCCCAAUAAUGGAAUGUAUUUUCGAGAAAGAUAUCUGUACCUACAAAGUACAUAUCUACAAAUAAUUCACUCAUUUUAAAUGAUACUUCAAUCUGCAUGUUGUUUGCAAAAUUCUAAUUUUAAUUUAUCAAGCUUUACUAUGCUUUAAAUUAUACCAGUACUAUAUUUGAUGUGUGUCCAAGUUACCAGCUGUGGUAUUCAUCUUCUUUCUCCUUUUUUGGUGGGUUUUAUUUUGAUGAGAAGAAACAACACCCUACUGUGUACACAGGAAAGGAGCAUGCUUGGUUCUUCUAUCUAUAUUAUUUCUAUAGAAUAACACCUCAUGUUUUCACUAUUAUAGUGUUGUGUCCCUUUCGAGAAAGCCAUGGAAACCAUGGUGUUCUUCGUGCACCGCUAUCUUAGUAGUUGGCCUUCAAAAGGGACCAAGAUCUAUAUUCAUCGAAAUUAAGCUAAUAUUUUUUGAUUCUCUUUUGUUCAAUUUUCAGUCCAUAAACUACAUUUCCAGCGGGAGAGGGAGGUAUAAGUGCGAGAGGUACCCGUCCAUCCAAAGUCCUGUGUUGUUUGCUGUCUGUGCGCGUGUGCGCAAUUGGUGGCUGCCACUUUGUUGCCAUUUUCCCUUAUUUUUGUACCUGAGAGAUAAAUAAGGAAGCAAUGAGAGAUUAAUUAACUGGUGGGCUAUUAAACGGAGAAUAUGAAAUAAUUCAGAAGAAACAGAUCGAUCAGCUUCCAAGCCAAAUCAGUUAGUAAGCCUCGUGUAAUGGUGGCGGAUUGUUGUGCGUGGCUACAUAACAAUCUAUUCGGACAAUCUUGAGGCCUAAUGAUCGAAUCUGCAGACUGUACCAUAUGCUUAUAUAUGCCAAGCUUUAAUACUUGGUACAAUGGCUCUCUCCGCUCAAAUGGAUAGGUCAGCUAAUUUUUGUCAAUAAUUUCUCUAUAAUGAAAAUCCACUGUAUUACAUUACAAGAUAUAUACAAUUAGUUAUUAUCCUUUUAGUCAAGACAUUACAAGAAUGACGAGUGCGUGGAUGUCGUGGACGACACCGGCCAGUACCGACACCGGCCAUUCUGUGCAAGGGGAUCAUCUUUUGGGGCGAUUUCAACCAUUUGUGCGGUGUUGGUCGAGUGGGAGUGGAUCGGAAACACCGGAUUGCUUUGUGUGUUAGGGGAGGUGAUGUGCGCCAGUACGUGAUCGACAAUGUGAAUAAUGAGCUUGGAAUUUGGAGGUGCCAAGUUGGUCAUGUUCUUUCUUUAGGAGGCCAUUGAUCAGCUGUAGAAUAGAAGAAACCUCGAAUGAGGUAGAAAAGGUGGAGGCAAAGCUUUACCUAUUUACUUAUUUUCUGAAUAAAGCUUAACCUAAUUUUAGUCUGCUAUAUAUCUAAGUAUAAAAUCGUACACACAUAAUCCCACUAUUUUCUACAUUACCAAUUACUCCCUCCGUCCGGGUUUAUUAGGCCCCUCAGCAUCACAAGCGUGUCCCUUUUUAUAAGGCUCUGCUUUGGAAAGGUGCAUGCAUGCAACCAUUUCAUUGGUUGCACUGAAAGCCAUUGUUGUUGGUGCCAUGGCUGAAAAAUUAAUACACUUCAUGCCUGCUUUUCAUUGGCUGCAUGCAUGUGAGAAAGUGCAUUGGGAGUGGAAUGGAAGAAAUAAUGUGAGCAAAUUACUAUGUGUCUUGGUCGAAGAGAAGUUGUCUUUAGGCCUAAUAAACCCGGAUGGAGGGAGUAACUACCAUUAAUUAAACUGCUCAUCAUGAAGUACAUGUCCUCGGUUUUUAGUCAUUUCUUAUAGAAAUUUGUACUCCCUCCGUUCCAUAUUAGUUGUCGCUCAAACGGAUGUAUCUAGCACUGAAAUACGUCUAGAUACAUCCAUUUCAGAGACAACUAAUAUAGAACGGAGGGAGUAGUUUUUAUGUCCGUUGAGCUCAGGAUUGUGGAGAUACUACCAGCCGAUCUAAUUGUACUCUGGUUGCAUGUCCCCUAACUCCACAGUAACAUGGUAAUUGCUUCACUUUUUAUUUAUGAUAUCUUUCUAAGGGCAAACAUAAUUAGUAGAUUGUGUAAAGAAGGUCAUUCAUAAAAAAAUGGAGCUAUGCUUAUUGCACUAGGGACGUGUAGCAUUUUUUUCUCCCAUUGCAACGCACGGGCAUGUUUGCUAUAGUCAAUAAAAUCCCUAAUCCGUGACAUUCUGAUCAAUUAUCUCGAACAGACACAUGUAGUGAUUGAUAACUUAAAUAAAAUCAAGUUAUUUUCCUAAACUAAGAUUUUUUUUGCUUGUUCCAGUCGUCAGCUAUUUUGAAUUUAUUUCAUGAUGUGCCUGCUCAUAUCUGAGUCCUGACCAUCUGGUGCUCUUUUUCAGAUUUGCUCAUGAUUCUACAGUUCUUUUCUGAACUUGUUCGUCCUAUUCGGGAUUUGCUUCUUCCAAUCUACUAUUCUGAUUUCCUUUUUCCCAGGCUUGGUCAAGAACUAGCAUGCUACAAAAUAGAUAAAGGAGUGGCUUGCUGAUGCUCAUAAUUCCAAGAUGUUCUUACAGACCGCACCUCUCUGUUAUGGGCAUCUUAGUUCUGCAAUCAAGUUGCUCAUGUGCAUAAAACUGCUAUGACACAUCUAUUUGUUUAAGAUGUCAUGUUGUUCUGCAAAUUGAAGUUUGUGUGUACACUAUCCCACAACAUGGAGUAGUGAGGAUGCAGAGGCCCUAGAUCAACCACUUGAUGUGAAUCAAUAUAGUGGUUGUGCAAAGUGUAUAAGGUCGUUUCUGAACCUCAGCAUGGAGGCGUUGCACUAAGGGAUGCAGUGAUCUUCGCCCAGGGUAAUUUUUCGAGGAUUCACUAGAGACAGACUGCUACGAGUUGGUUGGUUCGUAUCUGGUCAGCGAUCGAUCAUUUUCAUCUUUUGGUAUUCAGUUAGCCAGAUAAGUACUACGUAUGGAAGACUUCCUUUGUCAAAACCAGCUAGCUCAUUGGUUCAUUUUCAUGUAAUUAUCGGUAACACCUUUUUGAAUCUUGCAUCCACUAAAGUUUGAUAGUUCAUUCAUGAGUGUUUUAAGUUCUGUGGCAGAAUAAACACAUCGGCCAUUCGAUGAUGUCUUGUGGAAUUUUUUAGAGAUAUAUUGACAAGAUUGCAUUUGUCAAAUACUCCAAAAAAGGAUUUUUUUUUU